rnacentral:lncRNA from 1 species
GGUGCUGUCCGGCCGCUCAGCCGGGAAGUCGCCCGCCUGACUGAGUGGGUCAAGGGGCGAUGACAGCCUCCGGCCUGUAGUGACAGCUUCUGGAGACCCCGGGGAAGCGUGUGCUGCGCGCCGUCUUGCCUCAGCGCCCCACAGUCUCGCGUCAUUCGGGCGCCGGCGCCUGCCUGUGGCUAAGGCAGGCCGGCGUGUGCGUGCCUUCGCGGUGGGAAAGGAUUCUUGGGGCGGAGCGAGAAAGCCAGAAAGAUCUGGCAGGCUGUAGUGUAAUGGAAGUCGUCCAGUUUCUACCCCAGGCAUGGACCUAUUUGCCAAUGUAAUGGGGUGAGGUAAGGAAGAGACAUGAAAAAGCCAAGCAGCAAGCUUGCCCCCUACACUCUGUUCUAGGAAGAGAUGAAAUCUGACCUUACUUGCCUUUUAUAUGCGCAUACUUGUUAUGCCUUUGGGUUACUUUCCUUGGGCAAGUUCCCUGGGAAGCACUGGCCUAGAAGAAGGUGAGCUCCCAGAAGCAUGGGCUGAGAGAUGCCAGCCUCCCACUACCUCAGGCUUUAAAACUACAAAUUAUUGACUGAGAAAGACAGACACCAUGUUCACAGCACCUGGUGUGGCUGCAACCCGGGAAAGACCUUAUUCCUGCAGUGUGUGUGGCAAGAGCUUUCAGUAUAGUGCAGUGCUGCUGAGGCACGAACGUGCCCAUGGUGGUGAUAA